rfam:Domibacillus iocasae strain DSM 29979 DSM29979_contig_4, whole genome shotgun sequence.
UGGUAAUGUCUCCUUUACCAGUAUCAAUGGGGACACUCGGCUGCGCGGUGGUGUUCUGAGAGACAGAAUGCUUAGACGCUUGUCGUCAAGCGCGGGGUGUGAGGAUGGGUUAAAUGCCCA